AUUUCUUUAGUAUAACUAGUACGAUUGACU
rnacentral:tRNA from 1 species